AUACGGAGGGUGCAAGCGUUAAUCGGAAUUACAGGGCGUAAAGCAUACGUAGGCGGUUAAGUCAGUCAGAUGUGAAAGCCCUGGGCUCAACCUGGGAACUGCAUUUGAUACUGCUUGGCUAGAAUAUGGUAGAGGGAAGUGGAAUUCCGGGUGUAGCGGUGAAAUGCGUAGAUAUCCGGAGGAACACCAGUGGCGAAGGCGGCUUCCUGGACCAAUAUUGACGCUGAGGUACGAAAGCGUGGGUAGCAAACAGGAUUAGAAACCCCGGUAGUCC
rnacentral:rRNA from 1 species